AAAAAGUAUAGCUUGGAGUUCUCAAGUCAUGGCACAUUCUUGUUUGUUAGGGUUCUAUAUCAUCCUAGAACUAGAAAUAGUUGGAGGAAAAUACAGGCUCUGGAGCAGUAAAUGACCAGUUCAGGUCAAACAGACCUGAUGUGUUUGGGGAGCAGUUCACAAUCAUUAGCAAACACCCACGUGGCCAGUGUGCGAGGUGUACAAGGCGUGGGCCUAGCCCACCCUGCAGGUAUGAAAGCCAGGCUGCAAGGAAGACCAGCAGGGUCUCUACCCCAGUGUGGUGUCCAGAAGAAACAGGUCUAAGCCAACAUCCAGAGAAGACAGGAACAGCUGAGAAGCCCAGGGAAACAGCUGAAUUCCCAGAGUGGUGAGAACCAAGGUUUGGGAGUGGAAGCAGAGUUUCAGGGGCCUUGGAAGCCAGGCUUGGAGCCUUACACUUUGUCUUGCAGGUGCAGGCAGCGAUUUAAGGAUCUUGUGGGUCAGGUGGACAUUUGGGAAAGAACUCUGCCAGCGGUGUGAAGGCACGGCCUGGAUGUGGAGGCUGCGCAGUGAUGGAGGUGGCACUUUUUCCGAGAGGGCAGAAAUUAGCAGACUGUCUCCUGAGUCACACACUACCUCUCCUUGAGGAUGGCCCCGGCUGGAUGAGCAGAGAGGAUGAUGGGAGAGGCGGUCUGGACCCAUGACACAGCCAGCAAGUCCACGAGGGCCUUGACCUGCUCAGCCGGGGAGCUGGCACCAUGGAUCUGGUUGGCCUCCCCACC